rnacentral:rRNA from 1 species
AGUCGAGCGAUGAAAUCCCUUCGGGGAUGGAUUAGCGGCGGACGGGUGAGUAACACGUGGGUAACCUGCCUCAAAGUGGGGGAUAGCCUUCCGAAAGGAAGAUUAAUACCGCAUAAUAUCUAAUUGCCGCAUGGCAGAUNGAUUAAAGGAGCAAUUCGCUUUGAGAUGGACCCGCGGCGCAUUAGCUAGUUGGUGAGGUAACGGCUCACCAAGGCGACGAUGCGUAGCCGACCUGAGAGGGUGAUCGGCCACAUUGGGACUGAGACACGGCCCAGACUCCUACGGGAGGCAGCAGUGGGGAAUAUUGCGCAAAGGAGGAAACUCUGACGCANGCAACCCCGCGUGAGUGAUGAAGGUCUUCGGAUUGUAAAGCUCUGUCUUCAGGGACGAUAAUGACGGUACCUGAGGAGGAAGCCACGGCUAACUACGUGCCAGCAGCCGCGGUAAUACGUAGGUGGCAAGCGUUGUCCGGAUUUAUUGGGCGUAAAGCAUGCGUAGGCGGAUACUUAAGUGGGAUGUGAAAACCCGGGGCUCAACUCCGGACCUGCAUUCCAAACUGGGUGUCUAGAGUACAGGAGAGGAAAGGGGAAUUCCUAGUGUAGCGGUGAAAUGCGUAGAGAUUAGGAAGAACACCAGUGGCGAAGGCGCCUUUCUGGACUGUAACUGACGCUGAGGCAUGAAAGCGUGGGUAGCAAACAGGAUUAGAUACCCUGGUAGUCCACGCCGUAAACGAUGAGUACUAGGUGUCGGGGUUUCAAUACUUCGGUGCCGCAGUUAACACAUUAAGUACUCCGCCUGGGAAGUACGAUCGCAAGAUUAAAACUCAAAGGAAUUGACGGGGGCCCGCACAAGUAGCGGAGCAUGUGGUUUUAAUUCGACGCAACGCGAAGAACCUUACCUGGGCUUGACAUCCUAAGAAGUCGGUGGAAACACUGAUGUGCCCUUCGGGGAACUUAGAGACAGGUGGUGCAUGGGUUGUCGUCAGCUCGUGUCGUGAGAUGUUGGGGUUAAGUCCCGCAACGAGCGCAACCCUUGUUGUUAGUUGCUACCAUUAAGUUGAGCACUCUAGCAAGACUGCCUGGGUAACCAGGAGGAAGGUGGGGAUGACGUCAAAUCAUCAUGCCCCUUAUGUCCAGGGCUACACACGUGCUACAAUGGUUGGUACAGAGAGACGCAAGACCGUGAGGUGGAGCAAAUCCCAUAAAACCAAUCUCAGUUCGGAUUGUAGGCUGAAACUCGCCUACAUGAAGCUGGAGUUACUAGUAAUCGCGAAUCAGAAUGUCGCGGUGAAUGCGUUCCCGGGCCUUGUACACACCGCCCGUCACACCAUGAGAGUCGAUAACACCCGAAGUCCGUGAGGUAACCGUAAGGGGCCAGCGGCCGAAGUUGG